AAUCGCGGCCAAAGAUCGUAGAGGGACAAGAUAGACCACUCCUCGAAAAACGCGUAGUAUGACGUGUGUGACCGUCGACGCCAUAUUGUUAAGCAUUUAUUGGGCUGUAAUGGCGUCCUCAGCUAAAUCUACAUCUCACUGCUCCGCUAUCAACUGUUCUAAUCGUAAAUCUAAACGACCAGAGCUGUCAUUCUUUAGGUUCCCCAAUAAAAAAGAAAGAUGUCAACAGUGGGUCCAGAAUACUCAUCGACAAGAUCUCCUGCACCGAACUGCAGAGUAUUUGUCAAAUAACUGCCGUCUUAUGUACAUUGUGUGAAAUUGUGAUUUGUUAACUGCACAAAACUAAUGCAAAUGGCGAUACAUGCCUGCAUUUGGCCCAUACCCCUCUAAACCUGUCCUAACCAUCAAAUAACCUAACAGAACUGUCAUGAGGAAAGAUUUAAAAGACUAGGCUUGUAUUCACUGGAGUUUAGAAGGAUGAGGGGGGAUCUUAUCAUAUUGUUUACAGUGUACUAUGUUUACAGAUUCUGUUGUGCUGCUGAAAGUAAGAAUUUAAUUGUUCUAUCUGGGACAAGCUAGAUGCAGGAAAAUUGUUCUACAUGACAAUAAAACCCUCUUGUUAGAUGCAAGGGGAUCUUAUAGAAACAUCUAAAUGAAUAAAAGGACUGAACAAGCUAGAUACAGGAAAAAUGUUCCCAAUGUUGGGCGAGUCCAGAACCAGGGGCCACAGUCUUAGAACAAAGGGGAGGCCAUUUAAGACUGAGGUGAGAAAAAACUUUUUCACCCAGAGAGUUGUGAAUUUGUGGAAUUCCCUGCUACAGAGGGCAGUGGAGGCCAAAUCACUGGGUGGAUUUAAGAGAGAGUUAGAUAGACCUCUAGGGGCUAGUGGAAUCAAGGGGUAUGGGGAGAAGGCAGGCAUGGGUUAUUGAUUGGGGCUGAUCAGCCAUGAUCACAAUGAAUGGCGGUGUUGGGUCGAAGUGCCAAAUGGCCUCCUCCUGCACCUAUUUUCUAUAUUUCUAAAACACUCAUCCAGCAAUCCUCGAGCCCACCAGCUCAUCCCGUAGUCAAUUCAUCAGCUUUUCCAUAAGAACUUCCAUCAGUUCUUGCAAAAGAAUGACAAUCAGCCAAUCUCGAUUACCCUCAGCCCAUCAAGCAGUCCCUUAAUUCGCACAGAAGUCUGAACUAUUGAAUGCUCACUGCAUCUCUUUCCAUGUCAGCAAGUUAAUAUCCAGCUGCAUAUGAACCAUGUGAAAAAUGAAUAAAUAGAUGCAUGUGGUGCAGUGAUUUGUGCAGCACUAUAGGCCUGGAGACCAAGAGGAGUUCACCAUUGAACGGAGUUUGAACGGGGGGCUUGAGGCCCCCGACCGAGGAAGAACAAAAGGAAGGGACUUGAACUUUAUUUCGCCUUCCAUCACAGUGAGGAAUGUGUAGGAGUCACUUUGGUGAAUGUCCGUAUUAAAAUGUGUUUUUGAGUGCUGUUGCUUUUAAUUGUAUGACUGACCUGGCCAAUGAAAUUCCUCGUAUAUUGCAAAACAUACUUGGAAAAUAAAAUCUGAUUAUGAUUCUGAAAA